rnacentral:rRNA from 1 species
AGAGUUUGAUCAUGGCUCAGGACGAACGCUGGCGGCGUGCUUAACACAUGCAAGUCGAACGAGAUCCACUCAGUAGCAAUACUGAUGAAGAUCUAGUGGCGAACGGGUGCGUAACACGUGAGGAACUUGUCCCGGUCUCUGGGAUAACAGUUGGAAACGACUGCUAAUACCGGAUGACGUCGGAACUUCGCAUGGAGUACUGACGAAAGGGUUACUGGAUCGGGAGAGCCUCGCGGCCUAUCAGCUUGUUGGUGGGGUAAUGGCCUACCAAGGCAUCGACGGGUAGCUGGUCUGAGAGGAUGAUCAGCCACACUGGGACUGAGACACGGCCCAGACUCCUACGGGAGGCAGCAGUGGGGAAUCUUGCACAAUGGGCGAAAGCCUGAUGCAGCAACGCCGCGUGCGGGAAGAAGGCCCUCGGGUUGUAAACCGCUUUCAGAAGGAACGAAACUGACGGUACUUUCGGAAGAAGGUGCGGCCAACUACGUGCCAGCAGCCGCGGUGACACGUAGGCACCAAGCGUUGUCCGGAUUUAUUGGGCGUAAAGAGCUCGUAGGCGGUUCAGUAAGUCGGGUGUGAAAACUUUGGGCUUAACCCAAAGCGUGCAUCCGAUACUGCUGUGACUUGAGUACGGUAGGGGAGCGGGGAAUUCCUAGUGUAGCGGUGAAAUGCGCAGAUAUUAGGAGGAACACCGGUGGCGAAGGCGCCGCUCUGGGCCGAAACUGACGCUGAGGAGCGAAAGCAUGGGUAGCAAACAGGAUUAGAUACCCUAGUAGUCC